UGAGGGGAAGAGUGUGUGGAGACAGAGCUAGGUGGAGGAGAGUGUUGAACGAGUGUGUAAGAAAGAAAAAAAGAGACGAAAAGUUUUGGUUUUUUGUUUUUGGUGGUGAGUGUAAAACGUGAGAGGCAUUGAGCGGGUUUGGCUCAUGUGAAGGCAAAAAAAGAGUGCUCGGUUUUAAAAAGAAAAAAGGGACAGACAAACGAAGAGUCGGAAUCCUACUUUAGAUAAAUUUGUUAUGUAAAAAGGGAACGCAAAUAAAUACCGCAUCAAGACGAAGCUGCUGGCGUCAUCCCAGACGGAGCUGUGAACUUCCUGUGUUUAAGGCACGGAGGAAAAUGAGAAGUGCGGCGAAAGUUCUGGAAGGACACCGAAACCAGCCAAGGAAGGACACACUCUUCAUACCCUGAAAUUCUUGGAUCUGAGGACCGCCCAAUGAGAGCAGAUAGAACCCCAGUUAUUCUGUGGUAGUGAUCUGUAACACCACCAACUGAUCAAGACACCACACAGCCUUCUGAGAUGAUGGAAUGAAGUUACAAGGUCCUGAAUAGCUGAGAAUUACCCUUGCAGCAUGGAGCAUAAAGAAAGUGGCAGCCCAAGAAAAGACACAAAUAAUUAUGCAUCUUACCUGGCCAAGUUCAAGUCUCGAGCCAAAAGGCAUGCACAUUUUUAAAUAUUAAUGGGAACUGCUGCACACACUGAUAUUAGGAGAACAUAAACACAUUAGAAGGAAUACAACUGCUUGAACUAAACAUUGUAAUAAUGAUAG